rnacentral:sRNA from 1 species
GACGGCGCUGACUCAGCAACGCGAGGGGGGAGUUUUGUCCCUCCGCGGACCCCGUUUCUCCCGGCCUCAGCCUCCCCGCCGCCGCCGCCACCGAGCCGGUUUCCUUUUUCCGGCGCUCCGGGUGCGAGAGACAGGUCGGGCCCCCUAGGCAGCGAGCCGCAGCUCAACCCCGGCGCUCGCCCAAGGACCCUGGAAGCUACCGUUCCCCGCCGGGCAGCGUGGGCGCCAUGAGCAGCUCGGGACUGAAUUCGGAGAAGGUAGCUGCUCUGAUACAGAAACUGAAUUCUGACCCCCAGUUCGUACUUGCCCAGAAUGUCGGGACCACCCACGACCUGCUGGACAUCUGUCUGAAGCGGGCCACGGUGCAGCGGGCGCAGCAUGUGUUCCAGCACGCCGUGCCCCAGGAGGGCAAGCCAAUCACCAACCAGAAGGGCUCAGGUGUGGGCUUCCACUUCUCCCAUACUUUCCUUGACCUACCUGACAGCGUCCCAUUUUGGUGUCUUGUUUAAGAGUGGUCUUAAAUUCGUACUGAAAGAACUGGUCGUAAAUUCGUAAAGAAUGAGGCACAGGUACAGGCAGGUCUAAGAACAUUACCCAUGUGGUUUGUUUUGGUGUUCUGUGGCUUGUUAGCACAUGCGGUUAGAGUACAAAAGUGACAUGUCCAUGAGUAUACGUUUGAAUGUAAUUGACCAUAUUAUGUUCCAAUGUUAUGUGGUUUGUAGCCCAUGUCUUGGAAAUGUAUGGUCUUGGUCACAAAAC